rnacentral:rRNA from 1 species
GACGCACCGUCCGAACGUUAUUCGGAAUCACUGGGCUUAAAGGGUGCGUAGGCGGCGCGGAAAGUUGGGUGUGAAAUACCUCGGCUCAACCGAGGAACUGCGCCCAAAACUACCGUGCUCGAGGGAGAUAGAGGUGAGCGGAACUUAGGGUGGAGCGGUGAAAUGCGUUGAUAUCCUAAGGAACACCGGUGGCGAAAGCGGCUCACUGGAUCUCUUCUGACGCUGAGGCACGAAAGCUAGGGGAGCGAACGGG